AGGAGCGACCAUAUCAGCACUAAUGCACGGGAUUCCAUCAGAACUUCAAAGUUAAGCGUGCUUGGGCGAGAAUAGUUCUAAGAUGCGUUUGUUUUAUGACUUUCAUAGAUAAUGGCUAGUGGCAUGACUU
rfam:Cephalotus follicularis DNA, scaffold: scaffold5642, isolate: St1.